rnacentral:rRNA from 1 species
AUGGCGGACUUCGCGCUUGGCUUAGCCAAGACGGCCGUGGAGGGGACCCUCAGCAGGGUCCAAUCCGCGAUCGAUGAAGAGAACAAACUGAAGGCGGCGGCGCAACAGGACCUGGUGUUCAUCACCGGGGAAUUCCAAAUUAUGCAAUCUUUCCUGAAUGUCGCCAGUAAGGAGCGUGCUAGGAAUGAAGUGGUGAGAACCUGGGUGCGGCAGCUCCGUGACCUGGCUUUCGAUGUGGAAGACUGCGUCGAGUUUGUUAUCCACCUGGAUAAUGACUCGGCCAGGAGCUGGGUGUGGCGCCUGGUGCCCUCCUGCAUGGCACCACCUCAGACGCGGGACCUCGACGACGCUGUCGCUGAGUUGAAGCUGCUUAAGGCGAGGGUCGAGGAGGUGAGCCAGAGGAACACCCGCUACAAUCUCAUAAGUGACUCCGGCUCCAAUCCGGUCUCACAGCCACCGGCUAAGCAGGUGGCCAGUACCGGCCCAUCAACAAUCAACAUCCUGAUGGAGCUAUGGGAGGCCAAUGGAAGGCACCACGGUUUAUGCAACCUCCAAAAGUUGAUAACCAAUGAGGGCAAUGGCCUUAAGGUAAUCUCUUUGUGGGGAAGUGCUGGAUCUGAUAUUGAGGUGACGCAGAUUAUCAAUAAGGCUUACUGCGACCCCGAAAUCUGCCACAGAUUCAAAAGUCGUGCCUGGGUAAAGCUGAUGCAUCCAUUUAACCCAGACGAGUUCCUCAAGAACUUGCGGACUCGGUUACAAGCCAGCUCUCGGUCUUGCCAAGCUCUCGAUUUCAAGGGCAAGUUUUUAGAAGAUGAUCCCAUGAAGCAAUUGACUGGGCAGAGAUAUCUGGUCAUCCUUGAAGGAAUAUCCACUGUUGUAGAGUGGGAGAUCAUCAGAAUGUACCUGCCAGACAAUCACAAUGGCAGCCGGAUCGUUGUGUCCACCAAGCAGCUAGGGGAUGCAAUUUUUUUCACGGGGGAGAACUACCGAGUAUCGGUGCUCAAUGAGUUCAGUGGUGGUCAUUAUCUUUGUGCAUUUUAUAACAAGGGUUCAUUCCGUCAAAAUGUGAUGGGCAACCUUAUUCGGCAAUUAAGAUGUCCUGGUGUGAUUUCUGUUUGGGGGACUGGUGAUGACAAAUCAACUCUUGUGAAAGAACUGCUCGACUUCAUACCAAAUAAGAAUGAAGAAAGAUCAAACUCUCAUUCACAAGUGGCAAAGCAUAUACUUUGCGGAUGGAUUGAUGUGGCAUAUCCAUUCAUUUUGAGGGACUUCGGCUUGAGCUUGUUGCAGUCGUUCCGUAAGGAUGAUACUAAAUCUGGUGAGGAUGAUGCCAUAUCUGAUGAUGUUAUUACGCAAGGUCUUUCUAAGGUUCUUUCCGAACACGACAACCAGUGCCUGGUCAUUAUUAACGGUCUCCAGUCCACAAAGGAGUGGGAGACGAUAAAAAGUGUAUUUGCAGAGUUUAAAAUUAAAGGUAUUAUCAUUGUCAUAACCAAUGAUGAAAGUGUGGCAACAACUUGCGGAGAUCAUGAAAAUCGUGUGUUCAACAUCAGCAACGUGGCCCUUCAUCCUUCCAUGCAGAUCCAUACCUACAUGGAAGAACUCUUUUGGCAACCACGACAUUGUAGGGUGAUCUGCAUGUGCGGGGCUGAGGGUAACACAUCAACUCUCUUAAAACAAGUUUACAACGGCAUAAAGCAUCAGCAUGUGGGAUUCAAGGAGGUAGAAAAAUUUGAGUGUUACGUAUGGAUUGACGCACCCCAUCCAUUCGCUGAGAAAGAAUUCCUUGAGUGCUUGGGCAUGGCAUGGGUUUCGUAUGAAGAUGACUUUCAGGAGCAUGUUAGAAGCAUUCACAGGGCUCGUGGAAAAAAGUGCAUUUUUAUUAUAAACGGUCUGCAAUCCAUGGAAGAUUGGGCGUCGGUAAAACCAUACCUCGUGGAUGGGGUUCCUGAGAGUCGUGUCAUUCUUAUUGCAAAUGAAGUGUGGCCAAAAAAAUUGUAG